GUGAACGCUGGCGGUAGGCCUAACACAUGCAAGUCGAACGGCAGCACAGUAAGAGCUUGCUCUUACGGGUGGCGAGUGGCGGACGGGUGAGGAAUACAUCGGAAUCUACUUUUUCGUGGGGGAUAACGUAGGGAAACUUACGCUAAUACCGCAUACGACCUACGGGUGAAAGCAGGGGAUCUUCGGACCUUGCGCGAUUGAAUGAGCCGAUGUCGGAUUAGCUAGUUGGCGGGGUAAAGGCCCACCAAGGCGACGAUCCGUAGCUGGUCUGAGAGGAUGAUCAGCCACACUGGAACUGAGACACGGUCCAAACUCCUACGGGAGGCAGCAGUGGGGAAUAUUGGACAAUGGGCGCAAGCCUGAUCCAGCCAUACCGCGUGGGUGAAGAAGGCCUUCGGGUUGUAAAGCCCUUUUGUUGGGAAAGAAAAGCAGCAGGUUAAUACCCCGCUGUUCUGACGGUACCCAAAGAAUAAGCACCGGCUAACUUCGUG
rnacentral:rRNA from 1 species